AUCCAGACUCCUACGGGAGGCAGCAGUGGGGGAUAUUGCACAAUGGGGGAAACCCUGAUGCAGCGACGCCGCGUGGGCGAAGAAGUAUUUCGGUAUGUAAAGCCCUAUCAGCAGGGAAGAAGAAAUGACGGUACCUGAGUAAGAAGCACCGGCUAAAUACGUGCCAGCAGCCGCGGUAAUACGUAUGGUGCAAGCGUUAUCCGGAUUUACUGGGUGUAAAGGGAGCGCAGGCGGCGCUGCAAGUCCGGAGUGGAAGCCCAUGGCUUAACCAUGGUACUGCUCUGGAAACUGUGGAGCUUGAGUGCGGGAGGGGCAGGCGGAAUUCCUAGUGUAGCGGUGAAAUGCGUAGAUAUUAGGAGGAACACCGGCGGCGAAGGCGGCCUGCUGGACCGUAACUGACGUUGAGGCUCGAAAGCGUGGGGAGCAAACAGGAUUAGAUACCCUAGUAA
rnacentral:rRNA from 1 species